GCUGCGGGUUCGAGCCCCGUCAGUCCCG
rnacentral:tRNA from 4 species